rnacentral:misc_RNA from 1 species
GUUUUGUUCCACUGAUGAAUGUAUCUGGAGAUGAUCUGGAGGCAGCUAUAAAGGAAGACUUUCCAAGUGAGUUGGAUUGGGACAUCUUAAAUGAAAUGGAGCGUUCUGAGGAAGUAGAUAGACUCGAGUCGGAGGAGAUUGAGGAAAGAAUGGAAAAAGACAUUGGUAGGUGGGAUGAUAUAUAUCGUAAUGCUCGAAAAGCUGAAAAGCUCCGGUUUGAAACUAAUGAAAGAGAUGAAGGAGAGCUGGAAAGGAC